GCGGUCCGGGAAGAUCUGCCCAGCCAGCUAGGCCUGCAGGGCGCCGAGGCGCCUUUCCCUGACUGCUUGGCCCCUGGAGCAAUGUGAUGAGAUGGAACUGCGGCGAGCUCUGUGGAGACCCGGGUCCGAGAGGCCAGACAGGAAAAGUGACCAACUCUAAAAGACACCAGCCUAUCAGACCAGACAUCUGCCAUAAACACAGCCUCAGACCACCGACUGUAGAGCUUUUUGAGUCACUCCCUCCUCAACCAAAAUAAAACAUCCUUUUCCUGAGGGCGAGGGUGCCCCAGAGAUCCAGGCAAUUUAUCUGGGGACACACCAGCAGGGAUUCCAUUCUCCCCAUCACUAAGUUGCUCAUCUGGAAACACUUCGUCUGUAUUUUCUCGAAGCAAGUCUCCUGGGAUAGGGGUAGCAUUUGCAAUUCUGAAGAAUUAGGAGAGGAAACCAGAAAACUUUAAAGACCAGAAUAAAAGAGGAGCCGGGCAAUGGUUGUGCAUGCCUUUAAUCCCAAGCACUGGGGAAGA